GAUGAACGCUGGCGGCGUGCCUAAUACAUGCAAGUCGAGCGAACGGACGAGAAGCUUGCUUCUCUGAUGUUAGCGGCGGACGGGUGAGUAACACGUGGAUAACCUACCUAUAAGACUGGGAUAACUUCGGGAAACCGGAGCUAAUAGCGGAUAAUAUUUUGAACCGCAUGGUUCAAAAGUGAAAGACGGUCUUGCUGUCACUUAUAGAUGGAUCCGCGCUGCAUUAGCUAGUUGGUAAGGUAACGGCUUACCAAGGCAACGAUGCAUAGCCGACCUGAGAGGGUGAUCGGCCACACUGGAACUGAGACACGGUCCAGACUCCUACGGGAGGCAGCAGUAGGGAAUCUUCCGCAAUGGGCGAAAGCCUGACGGAGCAACGCCGCGUGAGCGAUGAAGGUCUUCGGAUCGUAAAACUCUGUUAUUAGGGAAGAACAUAUGUGUAAGUAACUGUGCACAUCUUGACGGUACCUAAUCAGAAAGCCACGGCUAACUACGUG
rnacentral:rRNA from 1 species